rnacentral:lncRNA from 1 species
AAAAAAGCAGCCAGCUGAAAUCACCCAAUGGGCUGAUGAGGUCACUGCAUUAUUUUUUUUUUCCUGUGCAUGAUAAGUAUGCAUUCCUCACUUGAUUUGUCCUUAAAAGCAAGUUAUUUAAAACUUAAAACUCCACAAAUACUCAGUCAUAUACAUUUACGUUACAAACAGAAAGGAAUACUUUUCUACAAAAUGCUCACUAUUUCCCUUAAAACUACUCUCAUUACUUUUAUACUUUCUGUGUACUCAUAUCCUUUUGGACAAGACAUAUCCAGCUAUUGAUGGUCACUGGCUAAAGAAUGCAAGUGGUGGAUUAACUGCGCCCCAGUUUCCCUCUGUGCCCCAGACUGACAUGUGAUACAUGUGAUGCUGGGAUGUGCAUGAUGCAAAGCUCAAGUCAUCAGUACCAGGCAGUGCACUGGUUAGUGAUUUUCAAAGCACCUUGUGAAAACUGUUUGCAAAUGUUUUGAAAGGUAAUGUGCUACAUUAUACUCUUAUAAGUUCACGUAAUUACACGUUAAAAUAUCCACUACAGGCAUGUGUUACAUGUUGUAUUAAUUUUGGUUUUGUAUGCUUCUUCAUCCAUAGUGAUACAAGUAUCGACAUGUAUCAAGAAUUC